UACGGGGGGGGCAAGCGUUGUUCGGAAUUACUGGGCGUAAAGGGCUCGUAGGUGGCCAACUAAGUCAGACGUGAAAUCCCCAGGCUCAACUUGGGAACUGCGUCUGAUACUGGAUGGCUUGAAUUCGGGAGAGGGAUGCAGAAUUCCACGUGUAGCGGUGAAAUGCGUAGAGAUGUGGAGGAACACCGAUGGCGAAGGCAGCCCCCUGGGAUAACACUGACGCUCAUGCACGAAAGCGUGGGGAGCAAACAGG
rnacentral:rRNA from 1 species